UGGGUUGUAUUCUUCUUUGCUCCAUAUGCUGUUGCUAAUAAAGGAGGAGAAGAGAAAACUUCAGUUCACAGUUUGUAGAAGCCAAAGAAAGAGAUCUAGACAUCUGCUUCCCCAGCAGCACCAUUUAUUUAUUUUUUGAGUAAUAAGCAGAAGAAAAGGUAUUUCUCUGCAGAGAGUUGCAAGUUACUAAUAAAUAAUAUUUUAUUUCCUUUUAUUAAAGUUCAAAGCGUUUCAAUGCAAUUAUCCAAACAACCCUUAUAACAGCCCUGUAAGGCAGGAGUUCUAAGGCAUCCCUCUAACAGGCAUUUCUGUUUACAGAGCAGGAGCUUUAAAUGAAUCCCACAAACUAGUCCAGGUGCGCUGAUGCCACUGGCAUGAAGAACUGGAGACCAAACCCUUUGCAUAUCCCUCUCCCGAUUGCCACGUAUCUUGACAGUUGGGAUCAAGGAGGGAGGGAGAAAACGCACCUGUGGAAGAACUGCUGAGACCAGCAUGCAGAGCUGGGGAACUGGGAGCCAAGUUGUUUGGGACGCCAAACACUGUGGGGGAAGUUUCCGGCUAACAGAUAUUAGGAAAAUAUCAGAUGGCAUCAUGGAAAAAAGGGCUACCAAAUGGUCAGAGGAAGAGUUCAUCACUACAACUACUGGAUUAUUAAUCAAGGAGAUUCAACUACCCUUUGUUCAAGUCCACAAAAAAUAGCUCAAGCACUUACACCUGGUUGAUGGAGAAGCACUCUGCAGCCUCACUCGAAUUUCACUCUCUGUACAAGACAAAAUGAAAGAAGGGGCUUAUUGUGAAGGGAGAGGUAAUGGUAAUUGGAUACCCUGUACACACCUUUGGCAUGAAUAAGGUUCACUGCUGCUGGUUGUUAGCUUGGCAUUUGGUAUGUUC